rnacentral:rRNA from 1 species
CCGAGAUCUACACGUAAGGAGUCGUCGGCAGCGUCAGAUGUGUAUAAGAGACAGGUCAAGAAAAGUCUCUAUCGAGGUUAAAGGUACCCGUACCGCAAACCGACACAGGUGGGUGAGGAGAGUAUCCUAAGGCCAGCGAGAGAACUGUUGUUAAGGAACUCGGCAAAAUGACCCCGUAACUUAGGGAUAAGGGGUGCCACCAUCAGGUGGCCGCAGAGAAUAGGCCCAAGCGACUGUUUACCAAAAACAUAGGUUUCUGCUAAGUCGCAAGACGAUGUAUAGGAGCUGACGCCUGCCCGGUGCUGGAAGGUUAAGGGGAUCUGUUAGAGCAAUCGAAGCAGUGAACUUAAGCCCCAGUAAACGGCGGCCGUAACUAUAACGGUCCUAAGGUAGCGAAAUUCCUUGUCGGGUAAGUUCCGACCCGCACGAAAGGCGUAACGAUUUGGGCACUGUCUCAACAACAGACUCGGUGAAAUUGUAAUUCCGGUGAAGAUGCCGGAUACCUGCGACAGGACGGAAAGACCCCAUGGAGCUUUACUGUAGCUUGACAUUGGGUCUUGGUACUACAUGUACAGGAUAGGUGGGAGGCUUUGAAACCAGGACGCCAGUUUUGGCGGAGCCAUCCUUGGGAUACCACCCUUGUAGUACUGGGACUCUAACCAUAGGCCAUGAAUCUGGUCUUGGGACACUGUCAGGUGGGCAGUUUGACUGGGGCGGUCGCCUCCCAAAAGGUAACGGAGGCGCUCAAAGGUUCUCUCAGUACGGUCGGAAAUCGUACGUAGAGUGUAAAGGCAAAAGAGAGCUUGAUUGCAAGACAUACAGGUCGAGCAAGGAUGAAAAUCGGACUUAGUGAUCCGGUGGUUCUGCGUGGAAGGGCCAUCGCUCAACGGAUAAAAGCUACCCUGGGGAUAACAGGCUUAUCUCCCCCAAGAGUCCACAUCGACGGGGAGGUUUGGCACCUCGAUGUCGGCUCAUCACAUCCUGGGGCUGUAGUAGGUCCCAAGGGUUGGGCUGUUCGCCCAUUAAAGUGGUACGCGAGCUGGGUUCAGAACGUCGUGAGACAGUUCGGUCCCUAUCCGUCGCAGGCGUAGGAAAUUUGAGAAGACCUGUCCUUAGUACGAGAGGACCGGGAUGGACGUACCUCUGGUGUACCAGUUG